AAGAUUAAUUAAAUUAGACUUCUAAUCUAAUAAAAAUGAUUUUAUCAUUUAAUCUUUUU
rnacentral:tRNA from 1 species